GCGCAGCGGCGUAUACAAUCUUUGGUCAGCAGCGCGGAUAUACGCAGUUCACUUUGCUGCAUACCACCAAAUCUCCAGUGACUGUAACGUCAUAAUACAGGCAAACAGGGCCGGCCUAGGCUAGCUACGUCGACGUAACGACUGAAUAAGGCUGUGCAAACAUCACAGAUCAUCAUGGAGUUUCCAAAUCUUGGAGAAAAUUGCUUUGUUAAAACCUGUAAGCAACUAGCAUGGUAGGCAUCUUGCAACAAUGAGGUCAGGUUAGAGGAGCAAUCUCUACCGGGGAUGAAACCAUGCAGCUGCUCAGCGACGGCAGGCUAGACAAUUGAUCAGUACGUAAACCUUGUUUAUGUUUCAAGCAAAUAACAUGAAAGUCUUGCACAAAUACACGUUCAUAUUCAGGCUGUUCACAACUUUUUAUUGUAAACAGAUACCUUAUACACACCCUUCCUGUUUAUUGUGAGUGUCCUUGACAACAAGUGUCAGUAGUCUCAUCUUUUUUAUUUAGAACAUGUCUCCCAAUUUACAGAAAGUAUCGUCAUGUGGCCAACUGUCGGGUGAUGUGAUGGUGUUGGGGUUAUAUUGGACGUCACAAUAGAGUCCCGCUCCCAUCAUGUGUCAUCGAAAAGGUCAGGCUAACGUACUCAAAUGCUGAAGGCCAGUACAAGGGUCACCGGUACCCACCUCUUGAUUGCAACACAUGAAUGCUUGAACUGUUCCUCCUUUCUCGGGAUAAAUAAUGUUAUUUUUCGGGAUAAAUGAUAAAGUUAAUGCCUAAAUAUUUGUGAUCUUCAAACUUCACUUAAGACAUGUUUUCUCAAACCUUGUCAGUUUUAUGCGAAUGAACAAUCCUUGUACGUGUAUUCAACAAGGGUCUUUCAUUAUUCAACUUGGAUUUGUUGGCCUAUUGCCAUCAACAGAAUUGUUAAAAGUACCUGUAUUUUCAUUAAACUGCAUUUAGCAUUCCAAAAUUUUCACAAUGGAUUGUUACUGCACCUGUCUUGAAAUUGUCUGGUUACACCCAGGACUGGAGCGCAAGUUUUGUUUUUGAACUGCUUAUCAUAACCUGGAUGUGACUGAAAUGGAUUUUGCUUUCACAGGAAAUUCUUUUAUUUCCCACAUUAGAGAUUAAAAGCACAUGUGGAAAGAGGAAAACCCUGAUUUAUUCAUUAUUUGGUUACUACUUGCACAAGUAUUAAAUGAUUGAAUUACUGUAGGUAGACUCUGUUUCUUUUCAAAUUUCCCAUUAAUUUUGCACAAGUUGUGAUGGAGUGCUCUCCCUGCCACCCCCCCAAAAACAAGAUUGGGAAGAAUUCCAUUUCAAAGUUCACCAAUUAUUCUCCUUGUUGA